ensembl:lncRNA
GAAAACCCAGCUUACACGGCCAAUUAGUUGGCAGCGCGUUCCGCACGCUGUAUGGAAGUACCUUUCUCUUCCCCUUAAAUUCCGCCUGACUUUUCGGCUGUAUUUCAUAAGUGUUAAUGUAAUGUUGCUGAAAGGAAAUAUGGCCAAGGCAGGAAACUUUCCCCCCACUCUCUGGGAUGCAGCUGUUCGUUUGGUUUGGGUUGUUAAUUCAAAACACUCCCAGGUGCCUAUUUCAUAUUAUCUCUUGUUUAGAACAAAAUAAAAUGAAACUGUCAAAACCUUUCUGCCUCGCUGGGGCCUGGGCUCAACAGCCGGGUAAAGAGACCAGGGCAAGGAAGCAACUGCCCACUCCCCUUUUCUCAGAAGACUGCUGCUGCUGCUGCUGCUAAGUCGCUUCAUUCGUGUCCGACUCUGUGUGACCCCAUAGACGGCAGCCCACCAGGCUCCCCCGUCCCUGGGAUUCUCCAGGUACUUGCUCAAGAUAACACAGAGCUGGGACCCUGAGAAUAAAAGGACCCAGUGUUGACUGGAGGCCCAUCAUGUGAUGGACAUCACCCUGGGUUCCUCAUAUGCCUGAGUGUUCUCACUUAUCUCCCACAAGAACCUCAGGGUCGUUUGAGAAUUGUAAUGGACGCCUACUGAAUGAAUGAUUGAAUGGAUGACUGAGUGUUAAUUG